ensembl:lncRNA SCAT1 S-phase cancer associated transcript 1
GGAGUGGCUGCAAAUACAGAUGAAGCUUCGUUUGCUCACUUCCUGUUGUGUGGCCCAGACAGGGCACUGUCUGUGGCCCCAGGGGUUGAGGACCCCUGGCUUUAACAACAGAAAGGUACCAUCUUACAGUUCUGGAGGCCAAAGUCUGAUAUCCAGGUGUCUGCAGGGUUGAUCCCUUCUGAGGCUACCCCAGUUACUGGAUUGGGAUCCACCCUCACUCAAUAUGGCCUCAGCUUAAUGAAAGACAUCUGCAGAGACCCUAUUUCUACUAAAAGCCACAUUCUGAGACUUCUCGUGGGCGUGAGUUUUUGAGAGACACUGUUCUGCUCCAUGCAGGGAGGGAAUUGGGAUCUGAAGACGUUGCAUUCGAGGUCUCGGGGCUCCUGAUGAGCAGCCUCGGCCUGACCUGGGGCAGGUGUGAUGUCUGCGGCUCACCAUCUCCACCCUGCCUGCUGUGGAAUCUCCACAACGACAGGUGCUUUGGAGGCCAGAGUGCAUGCGUACGGGCCCUGCACACGCUGAAUGUCACUGGGAACAAGGACACACCCCGCUUCCAGGAGAAGAUAGAACAUGUCGACCCCUUUUACCAUAUGACACAUUAUCAGACCAAACCAGAGCUCUUGGUUUUCGGAUCUGGGGAUGAAUUCUUUAGCACAGAUGGAACCAUGAACUUCUAUGAUCAACUGCCAGGAAGGAAAUACCUCAGAGCCAUCCCCAGUGCAGGACAUGCUAUUGACUUCCAUGAGACAAACACCUACUUGGAAAUCAGGUUUUUUCUGUACCUUUUGAAGGAGCAGGAAUUUCCCAGCAUUUCCUGGACAAAGACGGAGUCCAUCGUGGGACCCACACUUUUGUAAACCACGAUAAAGAUGAACUACCAGAAAAAUGAUGAAGCACUUAGACAACAUGGCAAAGUGAAGUGGCUGUCAGCGUUUCUACCCGCUCGCUCUCAAUUUCCACACUCAACGAGGCCCAGAACAGUCAGUUCCCGGACUGUCCCUGGAGCACAGGCCAGGCACCCUGGAUGAUUAACUGAGGGGUUCCAUGAGUAUUUCCUGAGCACUGUAUGCUGAGCGCUGUUGUAGCCCAUGGAACUAAACCUAGUACCCAAUAGUUACUUUUUCUAAGCCACUCUCUCCUUCCACCCACCACCUUCAAGUAGGCUGCAGUGUCUGUUGUCCCCCUCUUUGUGUCCAUGUGCCCUCAUUUAGCUCCCACUUAUAAGUGAAAAUGUGCAGCGUUUGCUUUUCUGUUCCUGAGUUAGUUUGCUAAGGAUAAUGGCCUCCAGCUCCACCCAUGUUUCUGCAAGGAACAUGAUCUCAUUCUUUUUUAUGGCUGCAUAGUAUUCCAUAGUGUAUAUGUAACACAUGUUCUUUAUCCAGUCUACCACUGAUGAGCACUGUGGUUGAUUCCAUGUCUUUGCUAUUGUGAAUAGUGCUGCAAUGGACAUAUGCGUGUAUGUGUCUUUACGGUAGAACAAUGUAUAUUCCUUUGGAUAUAUACCCAGUAACGGGAUUGCUAGGUUGAAUGGUAGUUCUGUUUUUAGCUCUUCGAGGAAUUGCCAUGCGGCUUUCCAUAAUGACUGAACUCAUUUACAUUCCCACCAACAGGGUAUAAGUGUUCCCCUUUCUCCACAACCUCACCAGCACCUGUUGUUUUUUGACUUUUCAAUAACAGCCAUUCUGACUGGUGUGAGAUGGUACCUCGUUGUGGUUUUGAUUUGCGUUUCUCUCUAAUGAUCAGUGAUGUUGAGCUUUUUUUCAUAUGCUUGUUGGCCACACGUACGUCUUCUUUUGAAAAGUAUCUGGAACUUUGCUUUUAAUGAGGGAUACAGACAAUAAAUUAACAUAAUAAAUAAGUAAAUUAAACAAUACUUUAGAGGGCGGUGCAUCCUAAGGAAAAACUAAAGCAGAGAAGAGGGAUGCCAAUGAUGAGUUGGUUUCUUUUUUCCUGUUGGAUGGGGGUGUUGCCAUCAGGGAUGAAAACAAAUGAAGUAAACCCAUCUAUUGAAAGGAA